GUAAAAAUGUGCAAAA
rnacentral:misc_RNA from 1 species